rnacentral:misc_RNA from 1 species
AACGCACCUUGCACCCUUUGGCAUUCCGAAGGGUAUGCUCGUUUGAGUGUCAUUGUACUCUCACACUUCUCAUCCUUUGGAUUUGGAGCGGUGGACUUGGGUGUUGCUGCUUUACGGUGGCUCACCUCUAAUGCAUUCGUGCAACUCUUGGUUGGACAUAGUACGGCGUGAUAAGUGUCUUCGCCGGCACCUCGCAAGAGGGUGGCUGAUUGAGAGCUCUGUGCUUUCAAACUGUCCUUGGACAAUGACUGACAACUUGACCUCAAAUCGAGUAGGACUACCCGCUGAACUUAA